UACAGAGGUCCCAAGCGUUGUUCGGAUUCAUUGGGCGUAAAGGGUGCGUAGGCGGCGCGGUAAGUCGGGUGUGAAAUCUCGGAGCUUAACUCCGAAACUGCAUUCGAUACUGCCGUGCUUGAGGACUGGAGAGGAGACUGGAAUUUACGGUGUAGCGGUGAAAUGCGUAGAUAUCGUAAGGAAGACCGGUGGCGAAGGCGGGUCUCUGGGCCGAUACUGACGCUGAGGAGCGAAAGCGUGGGGAGCGAACAGG
rnacentral:rRNA from 1 species